GCCUUCGUGGUGUAAUGGUCAGCACACUGAGCCGGUAUUUCAGAGGUCCUAGGUUCGAUUCCCGGCGAAGGAA
rnacentral:tRNA from 1 species